rnacentral:rRNA from 1 species
UACGGGGGGAGCAAGCGUUGUUCGGAUUUACUGGGCGUAAAGGGCGCGUAGGCGGCGUGGCAAGUCACUUGUGAAAUCUCCGGGCUUAACUCGGAAAGGUCAAGUGAUACUGUCGGACUAGAGUACAGAAGGGGCAACUGGAAUUCUCGGUGUAGCGGUGAAAUGCGUAGAUAUCGAGAGGAACACCUGCGGCGAAGGCGGGUUGCUGGGCUGAUACUGACGCUGAGGCGCGAAAGCUAGGGGAGCGAACGGG